AAAGAAGAAACAGCUGAAUCAAUCUAUAGGAAAAACUAUUAUGCAGUUGAAGAUAAAGAAGCUGAUGUUUUUGCCUAGAGUUUUAGAGCUUCGUUGAGAAAAUUGAAGAUCUCAGACUUCAGCUUGCGGUAGAUAAAUUGCUAACUCGAAAGCAAUCUAAGCAAUUGAGCGUAGAUAAACUGAAAUAAUUGGGUUGAGGUCAAUGUGAAACGAUUG
rnacentral:misc_RNA from 1 species